ACCUUUUUAUAUGUUGUUGUAACAAAGUUGCUUUUGGGUUAUUGAUUGAUUUUUUUUAGCUUUUCAAUUUUGUUUCCCUAAAAAAGUAUGGGUUAACAUAUUGACACUACUUAGCUUUUCACUGAAAAUUUGCCGGUAACAUAUUAAAUAAUGUGUAUUCACACAGCAGUAUAAAUCAAAUAAGGAGAAAAUGGGGAAUUCUGAGCUUCUACAAGAACAGAGAUGUUUUGUGUCUGGUGAUUCCAAAAGACGAAUAAUUGGAAUAAAAUAUUUUAGGGGCUGGAUUGAAAUUUGGACUUGUAUCUGCUAAGCAAGUUCAGGAAUUACCUCAACGGCCACCACAAAACCUAAAGAAAGUUAGGCUCAAAAGCAGCACGACUUAAUCACAACUUAAAUUAAAAGGAAAAAAAAAAGAAACCAAACUCUUUUGUCCCUUCACCACUGUCUGAAAUAAUUUCCACAUAUAGGAGACAGUUCACAGUGUGUAUGAAGUGCUCAGCUUUCACUCAUCAAACUUUAAUCGGAACUGCAUUUUAGUUUUUGAAUAAAGAACACUUAAAAAAUUUA